UCUUUUGACGUUCAUGUUUAUAUAAUUAGAUUACAACUAAGUUUGUGUAUGGCUUGUUUAUAUUAUUUCAGAAUUUGCUAUUUUAGACACUUGGUAUAAGCUGUCAUACUAAUUUGCUGUUUUAGACACGUGACUUGUGAUAUCCCACUAAUUAGCUAUUUUAAACAUGUGCCAAGUGGUAUGACAUUGUAUUGAUGUAUGUGAAAUGUAUAGAGUCUUUCAGUUAUCAGAUGUCAAGGAGUUGACAGCAUGGUGUCCGAUUAAAAGUGCGAACCUGUGUACGCGUAACAGCAGUAUUCAAAACCAAAACCUAUUUAAACCAACCAAACCAAAACUAGCGACCAAAAACUAAUAUCUUGGCAUUGGUUUAUUUUAAACAUCUAUUAUA
rnacentral:lncRNA from 1 species